rnacentral:rRNA from 1 species
GGGCCCGCACAAGCGGUGGAGCAUGUGGUUUAAUUCGAUGCAACGCGAAGAACCUUACCAAGGCUUGACAUACUACAGAUUUCUUUGAAAAAAGGAAAGUGCCUUCGGGAAUGUAGAUACAGGUGGUGCAUGGCUGUCGUCAGCUCGUGUCGUGAGAUGUUGGGUUAAGUCCCGCAACGAGCGCAACCCUUAUUUUUAGUUGCUAAUUUAUAGGUUUUCUAGAAAGACUGCCGGUGACAAACCGGAGGAAGGUGAGGAUGACGUCAAGUCAGCAUGCCCCUUAUGCCUUGGCUACACACGUGCUACAAUGGUUAAGACAAAGAGUUGCGAGCUCGCGAGAGUCAGCU